CAUGAGUGGUAACACGAACAGGUCGGUGAGCAGCAGACGGCGGUCACAGCACAGGCGCGGCCAGUCAUCCACAGUCCUGUAUAAGUGUGGGUCUUGUUGACUGUUCCUGUCACUUGUUGGCUGAAAAAUAAGUAAUAGCACAAGAUGGAUCGACAUUUAAGGAAUAUCCUCGCCACUGCAAUUCUUUGCAGCAUCAUGCACAAUGGCUUAGCAGUGACCUGCAGCAGAGAGAAUGUUUGGGGACAAACAACGUAUAUGACUUGUCCCCAGCCAGGUGACUCGCCUGAGCAAAAGUACUGUUGUGGACCAAAGGAAGGGCGCUCCUGUUGUGACUCUAUUUUUGGUGAUUUUGACGAUGACGAUAUCCAAAGAAUCGUUAGCAAAGCACCAUUGGCUCUGGCUCAGGUACAGCCUAGCCCUGUGGUACCCAAGACUAUUGAAGAUCAAGAAGGUAUUCGCUCAACUGUGGAUCGCAUCAAGGUGAAGCUCAGUAAGACUGCUACUUCUGUAAAGAACAGGGUGACAGUAGGCAUUGAAAGAGUCAUAGACAAAGUCAAAAAGGAAGUCAAGGGAAAUCUCAGAAAUAAGGCAGCUAGGAUAGCACCAUUGGCUCUGGCUCAGACACUACCUAAGCUUGAGGUACCCAAGACUGUUGAAGAUCGUGAAGGUGUUCGCUCAACUGUAGAUCGCAUCAAGGUGAAGAUCAACGAUACUGUCACUGCUGCAAAGGACAAAGUUAAAGAUAAUGUGGGCAUUCAGAAGGCUAAAGACAAAGUCAAACAGAAAAUUAAAGAUAAAGUAAAAGAAAAGGCUACUAAAAAACUGGACCCAACUGGGGGGCACAUUAAGUCGCUUCCAGUGAUUAUUGGGGUCAUUGUGGCACUGAUUUUAGGGAUGGUUUUGCUCUGCAUUGUGUGUUGUUGCUGUUGCCCAUUCUGCCUCCUCUACAAGCAUCGUAACCAAGGAACAGUCCAUCAACCUAAACCUGAUGCUGUCGUGAUGCAACCACUCCAGGACAAGCCUCAAACAUAUCAACAACAACCAGAAUAUCCUCCACAACCAGGUUACCCCCCACAACCAGGUUACCCCCCACAACCAGGUUACCCCCCACAACCAGGUUACCCCCCACAACCAGGCUACCCCCAACAACAGGCAUACCCACCACAACCCUACCCAGGCGCAGGAUACCCAGAGCCUCAUCAGUGAGUUAACUGGGAAAAACCACCCACUGUCAUCCACCAUCUGGGCAGAGCUUGCCAGUGCUAAGUGAGCAGCCACCAUCAUACUCUGAGAAGCAGCUGGCAUACAACCCUGACUACUAAGCCUAGUGAUCUUCAGCUUAACAGUGACGUACAUACUUUCAUCUUCCUUUAUACAAGACGUGUUGUGAAUUUAAGAAAUAUGCUAUGUAUUUCUAUCUGUUUGACGAAUGGUUGUUACACAACAUUUUAAGUACACAUCACUUUGAUGAUAACAAGUAAUAACUUUUGGUUUAUAUCAGUGUGUUAUAUAUCAAGAAGAUAAUGAGUCUGUUAAGAGAUCAUGUCACUGAUUAAUCAUUUUUAAGUGUAGAAUUAUGGAGUGUUAUCUUGUCUUUCUUUUAUGUGUAAACUCAUUAUGUUUCCUGUUUUAUAAGGCAUGGCCAUGUACAACACAGUAUUGCUAUUUCAUUAUAUGAGAUAAUUAUUUGGUGUAACUGUAGUUGUCCUCUGAGUGAAUCUCUUAACAAAUAAGUGAAAAUUAUUUUACAGAGGAGGAAUUUAUCUCAAGUUUAAUAUUAUUAUUAUCAGUGUCCCACAGCUUUACUUUGGAUUUCAUGCUGUUCAUAGUGUUUACUUUUAAUCACAUGAGAUGUAGUUUUGUCAUUAUCAACCUUUAUUUGAACAGUACAGUAAAUAUUUUCAAACAGUGAAAAUUUUGAUGGAUUUGGUGCAGGUGUACAAGUUAAAUGCAUAAGCUAAAGUAGAUUAACAAAAGUUGCAGGAUAAUUUGGGUGAACAUAUUUUACACAAUACUCUCAUUUCCUCCAUGGUAAUGUGGGUUACUAUAUCUCUACAAUACAACUUCCACCAUUUUCUCUCCUUCCAUUCCCCUCAGAUUACUUACAUACAUAGUUUUAUCAGGUUAUUCUUUUUUUACAUAUUUAACCCUCGGCUAUAAUAAUCACGUAGUUUCUUUGUCAUAUUUGGACCUUAGUUAUCGUUGUAGUGUCCCAUUUCCAAAAAUAGAAGAAAACUUUUUAGACUACAAAUUCAUAGUUAACCCUGAAAAUGUAUUGCUACUGCUUUUUGUGGCUAUUGGAGAGUUUAAUAUAUUCAAUUCUACAGUUGUUAGGCUGAGUAACAUCUAAUUGCACUCAACUAUCACUCGUAUUUUCUCGGCUUCUUAAUGUUGUUUUAGAAUUCUUCCUAAAGACUGGUGUUGUGCAAGUCCGUAUUUUAAUGAAGAAAGGAAUUUGACAUUUAAAGGUAGAAUGUCGUGUAUCUGUGUUAUAUGAUACACCUAUUGCACUCAACUAGAUGGCUCAUACAGAAAAUUUCUAACUCCAUAAUAUAGGGACAUAUCUUCUCAAACCUUUUAGUUCAGCAGACCCUCAAUUAAUUGAGUCUUCAAAUACAUGAUUUUUAUAUACAGUGAUGUAAUUUAUUCUACAAACCAUCCACUUGAACACUUCUCUAUGUGGCCGAUGAUGCUGUGUGUUAUGGUUGAAAUAUACAACACAUAUAUGGAAAUGUAAUUUCUCUACUAUAAGUGAUACAAUGAAAAACACAAACAUAUUGAAUACUUAAAUUAUGAUAACUAUUUAAUCCCAAGUGUAAAAAUUUUUUAAAGCAAUAAAUUUAAUGAGAUUUUGUUCGUAAGUUCCUUUUGAAUGCCUCCAGAUAACUGUAGCAGGCAUCAGUAUCUCCCUUAUGUUCUCUAGCAUGUGUGAAACUGCAUUUAUCCUUUAUAUCUCAGGUUCACUGUUAAUACUCACUACAGUAGCUUCUGAAUAAGUUAAGGCCCUUCUACACUUCACUGAGAUGCAAAGAGCGUGUUAAGUUCCUACAGCAUGAAUGAGAAAGUGAAAGUACUAGGUGUGUUGAAGGCUGGGACCACUGCCAGCCAGCUAGCUACAGGCAUAUACUGUACAUUACGUAAUUAACAAAUUUUGUACAGUAUUUGCUGCAUGAAGGGGUACAUAUUUUUUCUUUUACAUUUAAUCAAAUUUAUACAAUAUAUAAAUACUUAUUAUAUUAGGAUUUUUUUUUUGUUAGUGGACCCUUUGAUGGAGGCAGACUAUGUUACUGAAGAUCUACCAAUAGAAUUUUUGGGUCAUGAAUUCCCACAUGAAACAAGAAAUGGUUGUAUGCUAUUCAGCUCCCUCCUGUACCACACUGUUCAUUAUGUUAUUACUCUAAAACUUCUCUAGUAGUGUAUCUCAUUUUUAUUUGGUCCAAUUUUUUUUUCCACAUAGAGAUAUGAAUAGCUUCAGGUUAAUAACUUUUUUGAGCAGUGUGUAUUUGUUAAAGCACUGUAUAUCUCCCAUACUGAAUGGUAUAAAUACUUAACCAAUGAAUGAAAGUAUAAAAUCAAUAACUUUUUUUACUGUACAGGGUACUUACUUCUAUUCUCAAAGACCAUCCUAAAAUCCCCCCCCCCCGUCUAUCUUUCUUUUUCCUCUUGUUUUCUUCAGAUCUUAGUCAUAAAUUUAUCACACACUAAAAAUACCCAUAGAGUUAUUUCUCAGAAUUCUCUAUUGCAGGACUGAGACAAUCCUAGACCCACCAGUGGUCAAAAAUCUGGUAUGGGUCCAUGAGUGGAUUAGAAGUACCAAGUACUGUACCUUAAAAUAACUUAAAUAUGUAGGAAGGAUGAAGACUAAUUGGAUUGUAAGGAGAUAAUACAGAAGUGAUUUAAAGUGGGCUGUAAUAGUUAAAUGGCAUAUGGAGUAACCUCUAUUGGAGGAAGGGAAGCAGUUAGAAAAGCAUGCUUAGAUGAGAGUGACUGGAUGAUUCAUUGUUUUUGAUAGAAAAUACAGUUCAGAUUGUGUUGGUGAUUAGCCCAAGGUAAUCUUGGAACUACAUCUCUCUUGGUGUGGAGAAAAAUGGGGCUUUCAUUAAGUUUUCUGUCACUUUAUUAAAAGUUUAUCCUGCUGGCUAAAUUUAUUCUCUCAUAAAGUUCCUCAGCUAUUAUGUAAUUACAGUAUAUUAACUAAGUACAGUUGCCAGCAAAAGUUCUUCCACAGCCCUAUGUAGCAAGUUUGUGGGAGGACUUUUGCUGGCAACUGUACAUUAAUUUGAACAAAUGUUGAAGUAUAGUGUAUUAUUUUUAUGGUUAAUCUGGAGCUGUAGUUUUGGAAGAUGAUCUGUAUGAAUUUUCACUGCCAUGUAUUUUAUUGCCUUUGGAAAUAAUCUUCCACACACAAACAUUUGCUUACAAGUUAAUACUGUAACUACAUGCACUUGAUUUACACCCUAGUGUGUGCACACAUGCAUACAAUUUACCCUCAUGACCACUGCCUAUAUGUAAAUGCAUAUGCCUUGCACAUGCACACAUGUAUUGCAGCAUUGUAUGUUCCUAUACUGUCUUGAAACUUUACAGUUUUAAAAGGUUAUUUAAACUGAAAUUCACAUGACCGAUACUCAGAUUAGUUAUAAUUGUAGUUUGUAUAAGAGAUGGUAAUGUUAUGAUUAUUUUUGUAUGGAGAAAUAUAUAGGGUAAAUAGAUGCUUGAUACUUCUAAAAGUGGUUAAUUAGUGUUGAUCAACAUAAAGACUUGAAAUUUUAUAGUAGCAAUGUAUAUAAUUUGAGUUAUUCAUAAAACUUGUUUUAAUUUGAUGGCACGGGUACAGUUUUUCUUUGUUGUCAGUGAAAGGUUUGAAAGUAUUGUUAAAAUUAUGUUCAUUUUAAAGUAUUAAUUGUUGAAAUUCUAUUAGCUAAGAAAUUUAAAACUGUUACUGAAAUACUUUCACUAUACUGUACUGUAUAUGGUAUAUACUGUACCUGUAUUUGUACCUAGUAUAUUACAGUAAUGUACGUAUAUACAAUAUACAGUACUGUAAAUUUCACAGUACAGUACCUAACUCAUAUUUAUAGAUUGACAAUACAAAUUAAAACACAAGCUAAGUUUCAUUUGAUACUGUGUUUUACUAUAAAACACGUACACCUGUUUGGCAUCAAGGAUUUUGGGUAUAUAUUGUACUAUGACCUGUUCACAAGACUUUAAUAUGGGAAUUUUCAUAUACUAUUAGUACUUUACUGUAUUAACUCUGGUAAUAAAAUAUGUACUGUACCCUGUAUUUUUAAAGGAAUAUAUGUGUAAUGAUAAUUUCAUAUAGAGACACUGUAUUUUUAAAGGACAAUGUGUGUGAUGAUAAUUUCAUAUAACUGUAGUUUUAUGUUUGUACCUUUCCAUUACCAGGCUUACGUGGGAAUGAAUACCAUUUUUAUUGCAAAAGAAACAGCACAAAGAGUUUACAAUAUAUUUAUUUACAAUUAAUUUUAAGUCCCCAUAGGUAGUAUGGUGUAUCCUAAUAUGUGGCAGAAAUAACACUUGAGGAAAUACCAGUUUGUUAUCUUGGUGAACAGAAGGUGUUUGGCACCAAAGGGGUUACAUUCAUUCUUUUAAUUUUCCAUGGUGCUGACCUAGAAAUUUGUCAUACAUUUUGUGUACGAGUAUUGUAUUCUCAUGUUAUACAAUUAUAUAAUAAAGUAUUGAAUAAAUUAUGAUUCAUAUUUAGUGUGAUUCCAGAAAACCAUAAUGUAAUUUUUUUUAUUUAUUGCUGAUUAACUGUGUAUCUAAACUGGAAAGCAAGUUGCAAUAUGUAAAGUGUAAUGUACAGAACCAGAAUAUAAAAUGGAUUUUAUGAUUAUACCAUACCAUUUUGUUUUCUUAGGAAAAGGUGUAACAAAGAAAAUUGAAUAUUGUACAGCUUAAAGGAAGUGCAGUGCUGGCUGAAAGGGUUAAUGAAGAAUCCAGUGACAACUUAAGAAAUGUAGGAUUUGUGGAAGGGCAUGGUUGUGUGGAUCACAUCUACAGAACUUGUCAGAAAAUCUCUGUUGUAAUGCUGUCAAACUUAUUUGCAUAUUUAUGAAGUAAAUAUAUUUUGUAGACAAGUACAGUAGUGUACAGUGUCCUGGAGCAGCCAUAAGUUUAAUGACUUUUAUAAAUUCAGGAAAUAAUAGCGCAUAAUGUUCAUAUAAAUCUGUUAAUUUGUCAAUCCAUAUAAUGUUGACCCUUUAAGGACAGUUCCCACAAUUGUUGUAUUUUAAACGAUUUGGCUUGAUUAUUUGGGUUCCUAGCCAGCCUAGCAAUGCUGAGGCUAAGAGAGGUUGCACAUUUGAAAAUAUAAACAAGUACAGUACCAUAAGUGAGUACAUGUACCAGUAAUUAUAAUCGAUCAUCAGAAUUAUGCUGAAGAUUAUCUUCAUUAUCUUUUCUUACGCUUGUUUUCUCUCUCGCCAAAAAGAUUUUCUCCAUUAAAUGAGUACAGAAUAGCUGCUAAAAAAUCCAACUAAGUACAGUAGAAUGAAGAAUAAAAAAAGGGCUGAUUGUUGCCCCAAGAUAACUUUUUGAAACAUGUAUUUUGACAAAGCCAGAAAUGGGUUAGAACCUUCAAAUACUUUUAGAUUUUUUAACAAUUCCAAAAAUCCGUCUUCUGAGCAGUCGUCCAAAAAUUUCAAGCAAUCGCCAUAAAAGGUUUAAAAGCGGAUUCGUUUUCUUCGUUUCAUUAUGAGAAUCCACCUCAGGCUGACAUUUUUCUUGACCGUCAAGUUUCCUUGUACAGUACAUGGAUGGGUAUGUUUAAUUUGGCAUAUCCUUUUAAUAAUGAUUUGAUAAUCAUUUUGAAUAAGUCUACCAGGUAAUUUCUUGUUUAAAAACUAUAGAAUUCAUGAAAUUCAUAGGAACUGUUACCUUCUUACCCUCUGUGUUUUUCUGUGUAAGUACUGUCCAGCAUUUUGAUUAUCAGCUGUAUAAUGGAGAAAUUAUUAUAAUUUUUUUGUGUUAAUAUUUUCAAGAGCAUUUGCUUACUGCUCAGAAACCAAUUGUGAUAUUACACGUAUUAUAGCCAAGAAACCACAGUUAGGACUUCUCACAAAUUUGUGCCAUACAUUUUGCAUUCAGGAUUUACAUCCUGUAAUUUCUUAUAUUGUAAUGUUAAAUUACCAGUAAAAACGUAAAUGGAAAUACUGUACAGUACCUUUAUUCUGUAUUGUAUAGUUCCCUUUCAUGGUGCUGCAUCUACAGUUAAGUUAAAGAAAUACUCCACUUUUAUUAACUACCUGUAUUGGAAAUUUUUACAAGUUAAGUAUUUUUUUAUAAUUUUAGGCUACCUGUCAUGUGAUCUAUCCAGCCUAAUGAGUGAAAAUAUUUAAUUAAUUAGAAUAAAAAAAAAUUUUCAUUCAAUGGGCUGGGUUUUGUUCUGUCUUUGCAUAGAAAUGAAAGGUUGAUACAGUAAGGUCCCACUUAAUGAGUGAUAUACUGUAUGUUCUUGAAAAGGUGCUCAUUAGAUUACUACUUGCUCAGUGAUAUCCAUUUUCCUAUAGGAAAAAAAGCUGGUGUGUGUUCCAGCCCAAAAAUUUCAACUCAAAACCCCAUGGAAUAAACUUUUGAUGCAUUCCAGCCCAAAGAAUAAGAAUGAACAUUGUUUUAGUACAUUUGAGUGCCAGGAAUCUGAAAUGUUUAGUACUAAGACUCAGAAAUUGAUAAUUUUGCAAACUCCAUAUAUCUACUCUAUGAAACCAUUUACUGUACUGUAUAUUUAAAUUGAUGAAAUUCAUAAAUUUUCAUUUUGACAGAUUGGCCUGCAAUCAAUCACUGGUGUGGUUCUCACACACACACACACACAUGAAUGCCACUAUUUAUGGCAAUACAGUACAGUACGUACUGUAUAUCAUCUGUGUAGUUGGGAGCAUCUAAAAGUAGAAGCACACUGACAAGAACCAAAAACUAUUUACUAUAAAAUAAAAAAAUUAUCAGGACAUUCCUAACAAAAUUAUAAUAUUUAUUGGCGAGGAAACGUGGAGCUAGCAGUAUCUGCCUAAAUCACAGUGCAUUGUGGGUGUGAUGAUUAAACGGUGGCACCAAACUUGAAAGCGUUUUUUUGUGAUCUGCAGUUUACCACAUAUAAUAUGAUGACUAUAGCUGUUUAUGGGUAAUUAAAUUUAAUGAAUUUUUAGUCUUAUCUCAAUACUCAAGUGUUGUAAUUACAAUCACCCUGUGAGUGUUAACCAAUGUAAAAAAUUAGUCAUCCACUCCACCAAGCACUGACAGUCAGGUCACUAAACACUCAGGUAGCCCAAUUUUUUUCAUAUUUACUCAUAAGAUUUAUAUAGGAAAAAAGUGUAACAGUACAGUAUUUAUUCUUUAUUGGAGCUGGUGUUGAAAACUUGAGUAAUUCGUCAUAUUUCUUCUUUAAGUCAUAAAUUUUUGUGGCUCCAACACCAUACUGGGCACAGAAGUUUACUUGCUGUCUGACCCUUAUCAAAGUUUGGGAGAGUUUCCACUUUUUUUUUUUUUUAAUUCUAAGUACUUUGUUUUCUUUUUGCACUACUGCACUCAGUACCGUCAUUUUUGUGUUUGUUUUGAGACAUUUUAAGGCCAAUGUAUCUGGUUAGAAUCCAUAAUGCUUUCUGAGUGAUGAAAGAAUGCUGUGAACAGCACAAAUGCAUGGGUAAUACAGGUUGGCACCUGGAAAAUAAAUGCCUGGCUAGCCAGCCACUGACUUUAUUUCAAAGUACACUACAGUAUGGAAAAUGAGUUUACAAGUGCACUAGCCCAGCUGGCUACUCAAUGACAAAGCAUGGAUAGCCCCCACUCCAUGACUGAUAAUGUGAGCUGGUUCACUCGUAAUUUUGCUUGAUAAAAGGAAGUUCAUUCACUGAAUUUUCAUAUCCUUAAACGCUAAGUUCGUUCAACCAAAUUUUCAUUCAUCGGUUACUUGUUCAGUGGGACCUUGGUGUAUUUUCUUUGGCAAGAAUCAGUCAAUGAGAACUUCAAUUUAGGCAGUUUUACUGGAAAUAACUUACACACUGGGUAUAUUGCACUAGUAGUGAUCAUAAGAAGAAAUGUGUGAGGCUUUCUUUGUAUCAACAGUCUCUGAGAAGUUUCGCCCCAUCUCCUGGAAAAUGCACAGUGAAGUGUACUGACUGACAAAUAUUGUAUUAAACAAAUUAUGUGAAAAUGCAUGAUACCUACUUAUUCAUUUCCAUGGCAUGAGUUAAUGCCAUGCGAGAAUAAGAUAUUUCUAAAACCUUGUUAAUUAAAUAUUUGAUGUCUUCAAAAAAUAUACACCUGUAUUUCCAGAACAGUAUACAGUGACCCUAUGUUAUCAGCAUACAGAUAGAUCCUUCGUUUUUGUCAAGAUUUUUACUUUCAAACAGUUGUUAAUGAAAAAUUUCUAUCGAUUCAUUAGAAGAAAUGCAAUUGUAAGAUACAUGAAGAACAGGAGCACUGUACAGGUACAGUAUAUUAGAAAAUACUGUACAGUACUCACUGUACAAUUUUGGGGUCAAAUGUUAAUAAACUUACUGUAUUUGCUUAUGGUACACUAGUGUAUUUUCAUGAAUAUAUGACAAAAGUUUGCUUUAACACGUUAUUAAAACAUUCUUAAAAAAAAAAACCAGAUGUCAGACACAUACAGUAUUGCUGUUGACCUGUGUGUAAUUUUGCUGUUGCUUCACAUACCGUAUAAUACAGUACAGGGUACUUAUGUGUGAAGUUUUUGAGACGUUUUUAUAAUUUUAAUUAAUAUAUUUACUGUACCGUACGUACUAUUAUUUUUGUUUUGAGACUUUUAUAAGACUUAGUAAACUCAUGUAAUAAAUACACUUCUAUUAACCUUGA
rnacentral:misc_RNA from 1 species